UACGUAGGUGGCAAGCGUUGUCCGGAUUUACUGGGCGUAAAGAGCGCGCAGGCGGUCGUUCAAGUCGCGUGUGAAAGCCCCCGGCUCAACUGGGGAGGGUCACGCGAUACUGAUCGACUCGAAGGCAGGAGAGGGUAGUGGAAUUCCCGGUGUAGCGGUGAAAUGCGUAGAGAUCGGGAGGAACAUCAGUGGCGAAGGCGGCCAUCUGGGACAACACUGACGCUGAAGCACGAAAGCGUGGGGAGCAAACAGG
rnacentral:rRNA from 1 species